CAGCUAUGAAGGCAGCAAAUGACAGAGCUGGGAGGCAGUCAGGGGACCAGCUGGUCCAAGUAACCAGGAACCAGCUUACUCAAGGGGGCUUAUCAAGGGUCACACAGAAAAUGAGAGUCCUCAGAGCACAUCCUGAGGAAGCAUCUGCAUUUGGAGGCUCAAUGGAACAAGAGAACUUGCCUAAGAUCUCCUGGUCAUCUUCUUUUGGCGAGACCCUGUGAGGGAGGUCCUGUGAAAUGGCUACCUUUAAGAAGUGUAAAGUGAGACGCAGAGAGAUUGGUACCUCUGGGGAGCAAAACAAGUCCCAGUCCAGUAAUUCUGUCAUAAGACAGGAGACAGAUGGCGUCAUAUUCUAAAUACACCCCCAUGGAUUUACUGGACUCCAAGAAAAACCUCAAGAGCUUUUUUCUGACAACCCUAUCUAACUACCAUCUUUGUUGCCAGGCGUCAGUCUGAACCGAAGUGAUAGAAGGGCCCUUGACUCUUUUCCCUUCCACUCAAGAUCACCUAUCAGAAUGCGGGUGAAAGCAAUUUCUUUGGAAGGCUAACCUUGACUGCAUUCUGCUUUGUUAGAAAAAAGAUUAGUCACAAGCUUUAAUUUGUCAUAGGAAUUGCCUGUGACCCAUCUCACGGUCGGCCAUGCCUCACCGGCGCACUGGGCUCCGUGCUCCGGCUUGGGGCUCUCUUCCACUGGGCUCCAUCUCUGGGGAAGUGAACUU